GUGGGGAAUAUUGGACAAUGGGCGAAAGCCUGAUCCAGCAAUGCCGCGUGAGUGAUGAAGGCCCUAGGGUUGUAAAGCUCUUUUACCAGGGAUGAUAAUGACAGUACCUGGAGAAUAAGCUCCGGCUAACUCCGUGCCAGCAGCCGCGGUAAUACGGAGGGAGCUAGCGUUGUUCGGAAUUACUGGGCGUAAAGCGCGCGUAGGCGGUUUUUUAAGUCAGAGGUGAAAGCCCGGGGCUCAACCCCGGAAUUGCCUUUGAAACUGGAAAACUUGAAUCUUGGAGAGGUCAGUGGAAUUCCGAGUGUAGAGGUGAAAUUCGUAGAUAUUCGGAAGAACACCAGUGGCGAAGGCGACUGACUGGACAAGUAUUGACGCUGAGGUGCGAAAGCGUGGGGAGCAAACAGGAUUAGAAACCCUAGUAGUCC
rnacentral:rRNA from 1 species